rnacentral:rRNA from 1 species
AACGCUGGCGGCGUGCCUAAUACAUGCAAGUCGAACGAGUUCUGAUUAUUGAAAGGUGCUUGCAUCUUGAUUUAAUUUUGAACGAGUGGCGGACGGGUGAGUAACACGUGGGUAACCUGCCCUUAAGUGGGGGAUAACAUUUGGAAACAGAUGCUAAUACCGCAUAAAUCCAAGAACCGCAUGGUUCCUGGCUGAAAGAUGGCGUAAGCUAUCGCUUUUGGAUGGACCCGCGGCGUAUUAGCUAGUUGGUGAGGUAACGGCUCACCAAGGCAAUGAUACGUAGCCGAACUGAGAGGUUGAUCGGCCACACUGGGACUGAGACACGGCCCAAACUCCUACGGGAGGCAGCAGUAGGGAAUCUUCCACAAUGGACGCAAGUCUGAUGGAGCAACGCCGCGUGAGUGAAGAAGGCUUUCGGGUCGUAAAACUCUGUUGUUGGAGAAGGAUGGUCGGCAGAGUAACUGUUGUCGGCGUGACGGUAUCCAACCAGAAAGCCACGGCUAACUACGUGCCAGCAGCCGCGGUAAUACGUAGGUGGCAAGCGUUAUCCGGAUUUAUUGGGCGUAAAGCGAGCGCAGGCGGUUUUUUAAGUCUGAUGUGAAAGCCCUCGGCUUAACCGAGGAAGUGCAUCGGAAACUGGGAAACUUGAGUGCAGAAGAGGACAGUGGAACUCCAUGUGUAGCGGUGAAAAUGCGUAGAUAUAUGGAAGAACACCAGUGGCCAAGGGCGGCUGCCUGGUCUGUAACUGACGCUGAGGCUGGAAAGCAUGGGUAGCGAACAGGAUUAGAUACCCUGGUAGUCCAUGCCGUAAACGAUGAAUGCUAGGUGUUGGAGGGUUUCCGCCCUUCAGUGCCGCAGCUAACGCAUUAAGCAUUCCGCCUGGGGAGUACGACCGCAAGGUUGAAACUCAAAGGAAUUGACGGGGGCCCGCACAAGCGGUGGAGCAUGUGGUUUAAUUCGAAGCAACGCGAAGAACCUUACCAGGUCUUGACAUCUUUUGAUCACCUGAGAGAUCAGGUUUCCCCUUCGGGGGCAAAAUGACAGGUGGUGCAUGGUUGUCGUCAGCUCGUGUCGUGAGAUGUUGGGUUAAGUCCCGCAACGAGCGCAACCCUUAUGACUAGUUGCCAGCAUUUAGUUGGGCACUCUAGUAAGACUGCCGGUGACAAACCGGAGGAAGGUGGGGAUGACGUCAAAUCAUCAUGCCCCUUAUGACCUGGGCUACACACGUGCUACAAUGGAUGGUACAACGAGUUGCGAGACCGCGAGGUCAAGCUAAUCUCUUAAAGCCAUUCUCAGUUCGGACUGUAGGCUGCAACUCGCCUACACGAAGUCGGAAUCGCUAGUAAUCGCGGAUCAGCACGCCGCGGUGAAUACGUUCCCGGGCCUUGUACACACCGCCCGUCACACCAUGAGAGUUUGUAACACCCGAAGCCGGUGGCGUAACCCUUUUAGGGAGCGAGCCGUCUAAGGUGGGACAAAUGAUUAGGGUG